CUACGGGAGGCUGCAGUGGGGAAUAUUGGACAAUGGGGGAAACCCUGAUCCAGCAAUGCCGCGUGUGUGAAGAAGGCCUGCGGGUUGUAAAGCACUUUCGGUUGGGAGGACUGCUUCUAGCACUAAUAUUGUUGGAAGUUGACGUUGCCUUCAGAAGAAGCACCGGCUAACUCCGUGCCAGCAGCCGCGGUAAUACGGAGGUGCAAGCGUUAAUCGGAAUUACUGGGCGUAAAGCGCGCGUAGGCGGCUAGAUCAGUCGGGUGUGAAAGCCCCGGGCUUAACCUGGGAACUGCAUCCGAUACUGUCUAGCUUGAGUACAGGAGAGGAGAGUGGAAUGCCACAUGUAGCGGUGAAAUGCGUAGAUAUGUGGAGGAACACCAAUGGCGAAGGCAGCUCUCUGGCCUGAUACUGACGCUGAGGUGCGAAAGCGUGGGGAGCAAACAGGAUUAGAUACCCUAGUAGUC
rnacentral:rRNA from 1 species